rnacentral:rRNA from 1 species
CCAAUAGCGUAUAUUAAAGUUGUUGCAGUUAAAAAGCUCGUAGUUGAAUUUCAGGCCUGGCUGGACGGUCCGCCCUUCGGGUGAGUACUGUCUGUAGUCGGGUCCUACCUUCUGGCGAAGCGUCAUGGCCUUAACCGGCCGUGGCGGGGAACCAGGACUUUUACUGUGAAAAAAUUAGAGUGUUCAAAGCAGGCAAUCGCUUGGAUACAUUAGCAUGGAAUAAUGGAAUAGGACAAUGGUUCUAUUUGUUGGUUUCUAGGACCGUUGUAAUGAUUAAUAGGGAUAGUUGGGGGCAUUAGUAUUCAAUUGUCAGAGGUGAAAUUCUUGGAUUUAUUGAAGACUAACUACUGCGAAAGCAUUUGCCAAGGAUGUUUUCAUUAAUCAAGAACGAAAGUUAGGGGAUCGAAGACGAUCAGAUACCGUCGUAGUCUUAACCAUAAACUAUGCCGACUAGGAAUCGGGCGAUGUUGACAAAAUGACGCGCUCGGCACCUCAUG